rnacentral:rRNA from 1 species
CGAACGGGUGAGUAACGCGUGAGGAACCUGCCUCAAAGAGGGGGACAACAGUUGGAAACGACUGCUAAUACCGCAUAAGCCCACGGGUCGGCAUCGAUCUGAGGGAAAAGGAGUGAUCCGCUUUGAGAUGGCCUCGCGUCCGAUUAGCUAGUUGGUGAGGUAACGGCCCACCAAGGCGACGAUCGGUAGCCGGACUGAGAAGUUGAACGGCCACAUUGGGACUGAGACACGGCCCAG